CAUCGCAACGGGCAAACCCAUCGAAAGAUGGGGACGCAAAAUUUCCGGUCUAAGGGGCAGCGCCCUAGGAUAGCGGGAUUGCUAGA
rnacentral:ncRNA from 1 species